rnacentral:rRNA from 1 species
UACGGAAGGGGCGAGCGUUGUUCGGAAUCAUUGGGCGUAAAGGGCGCGUAGGUGGUUCUGUAUGUCUGCCGUGAAAGGGUACAGCUUAACUGUGGCUUGUCGGUAGAAACUGCAGGACUUGAGGCUGGGAGGGGCUGGUGGAAUUCCCUGUGUAGCGGUGAAAUGCGUAGAGAUGGGGGAGAACACUCGUGGCGAAGGCGGCCAGCUAGACCAGUUCUGACACUGAGGCGCGACAGCGUGGGGAGCAAACAGG